AUUUAAGUAGUUUAUUAAAAAUAUUGAUUUGUGGUGUCAAUGAUAUGAACUUUAUUCAUCUNAGAUC
rnacentral:tRNA from 1 species